GUGGGGAAUCUUAGACAAUGGGCGCAAGCCUGAUCUAGCCAUGCCGCGUGAGCGAUGAAGGCCUUAGGGUUGUAAAGCUCUUUCAGUGGGGAAGAUAAUGACUGUACCCACAGAAGAAGCCCCGGCUAACUCCGUGCCAGCAGCCGCGGUAAUACGGAGGGGGCUAGCGUUGUUCGGAAUUACUGGGCGUAAAGCGCACGUAGGCGGACUGGAAAGUCAGGGGUGAAAUCCCGGGGCUCAACCCCGGAACUGCCUUUGAAACUCCCAGUCUUGAGGUCGAGAGAGGUGAGUGGAAUUCCGAGUGUAGAGGUGAAAUUCGUAGAUAUUCGGAGGAACACCAGUGGCGAAGGCGGCUCACUGGCUCGAUACUGACGCUGAGGUGCGAAAGCGUGGGGAGCAAACAGGAUUAGAAACCCGAGUAGUCC
rnacentral:rRNA from 1 species